GACGUCAAGUCAUCUGUUAGCCUUCUUUUAUUAGGCUCUUAUUGAGAGAGUUACAACAUCGAGGGUGCCAGUAAUAACGAUAAAAAAAAUUCCCUGGUGUUUCUCUUGCAAAGAUUGAGUAGUUACCCUGUAAAGGGUAAGUAGAUAAGAAUGACACAAUGUUAGCAAAAUUGAGGACACAAGAAGAUCUAUUUCUGAUGAAAAGCAAGAAUCUUCUGCGAGUAAGAAUAAUAAACAUAAACAGACAAUCUUACCGCCACUUAUCUGCUGAAAGAUUCCUGUUUACGUAAACAGGCCAUAAUGACAUCAACGCUGAUAUCAAGAGUUUUUGGUGCGGAAUAAACUCCUCCGAUAGCUUUUUCAAUGGAGCAUCGUAAUCCAUGAUUAACUGGCCUAGCCGCGGAAAGCUCUGGUCACUGGAAAUUAAAAUAAUUUCUUCAGUCCACAACUGAACUAGUUGAAAGCAGUUGGAGAAAAGACACAUUAUGCAUGCAGUAAGGUGAAGAAAUAAAAAUAUUAAAAACAAAUUGAUUGAUAAAUCCUAGGCACUACUGCAGCCCGACCACAGACUUCUUUGGCUCCCGGCGAUGGAAGUGCGAGUUUGUUCCAUAGCAGUUCCAUCGCUAGAAUUUUUGCAACCACAGACCUCAAUGGAACGGCUGAUAGAUUACGGUCUGUAGUCACCCUCAAAGGGUAUUCAAUUGGAAUGGAGCCGAGUUCUAUCAAUAUCGAUGGAAGCAAGAAGUCCGUGGUUGGGCUGCUGAUAGAUGUUAAUGACCUAACCUAAUGAUGUUAACCCAAUUUGAGGUAAUGCAACACUUCAUCAACAUAAAAAGUUUCUUAUCUUGAAAAUAUUGUGUACAAGCACGGAUGCUGUAGUAAGUCACCAAUACUGCAACACCUGGGAGAGGGUAGCUCCAAUAAGCAGAUUUGGAAUGGCCACGUAAUAAUCAUGUAAUAUUUGGGAAUAUGAAUGAAGAAGCGGUGAUUACGGCUUCAGCAACCUCAGCCAUGAACACAGGCGAAAUGUAAAUUCCAGUGUUUUUCUACUUUUCAUUAUGCGCACAAAUGUUAAAAUUAUGUAUUCAUACUUCUUAUUUGUAAGUAAUUACUGCAUUCUGGAGUGAUGCGCAUUCAAAUGUUCAAUUUCAAAAUAAACAUAAGUAAGUAAAGCACCUUAUACAUAAACUCAUAAGCUGAUCUUAUAGAUCAUAUGACUUUUGCUUCAGUUCAAUGAAAGAUUCUUUUUACAUUAUAAAUCAAAUUUGCAGAAAGAUGAAUGCUUGAUUCUUCAACAUUUAAAGCUGGUUGUAUGCCUGAUUGUAUGGUCUUUAUAUGAAUCAUGUUCCCAGUCUGAGAUCAUGGGCUGAAUAAAAAUGUAUAUGAUUGAUUGAUUUAAUAUCCACAAA